CGCGUCACGUGACGCAGCCGGCUCUGAGUGAUGACCUUUUCCGACCGGGCGGACAUACCAAGUAUCGGUGGGCCACGCUCCGCGUAGUCGCGCUCCCUGUGUACAAAAUUUUGGGGGCGCUGGCCGGCCGAGAAUUGAUGAAUGGUCGUGAGACAGCUGACUAGAGCCUGCUGCGCGCGUGCCGGCGGCACCGGACCGCCCUUGUA